AGAGUUUGAUCCUGGCUCAGGAUGAACGCUGGCGGCGUGCUUAACACAUGCAAGUCGAACGAUGAACCUCACUUGUGGGGGGAUUAGUGGCGAACGGGUGAGUAACACGUGAGUAACCUGCCCUUAACUCUGGGAUAAGCCUGGGAAACUGGGUCUAAUACCGGAUAUGACUCCUCAUCGCAUGGUGGGGGGUGGAAAGCUUUUUGUGGUUUUGGAUGGACUCGCGGCCUAUCAGCUUGUUGGUGAGGUAAUGGCUCACCAAGGCGACGACGGGUAGCCGGCCUGAGAGGGUGACCGGCCACACUGGGACUGAGACACGGCCCAGACUCCUACGGGAGGCAGCAGUGGGGAAUAUUGCACAAUGGGCGAAAGCCUGAUGCAGCGACGCCGCGUGAGGGAUGACGGCCUUCGGGUUGUAAACCUCUUUCAGUAGGGAAGAAGCGAAAGUGACGGUACCUGCAGAAGAAGCGCCGGCUAACUACGUGCCAGCAGCCGCGGUAAUACGUAGGGCGCAAGCGUUAUCCGGAAUUAUUGGGCGUAAAGAGCUCGUAGGCGGUUUGUCGCGUCUGCCGUGAAAGUCCGGGGCUCAACUCCGGAUCUGCGGUGGGUACGGGCAGACUAGAGUGAUGUAGGGGAGACUGGAAUUCCUGGUGUAGCGGUGAAAUGCGCAGAUAUCAGGAGGAACACCGAUGGCGAAGGCAGGUCUCUGGGCAUUAACUGACGCUGAGGAGCGAAAGCAUGGGGAGCGAACAGGAUUAGAUACCCUGGUAGUCCAUGCCGUAAACGUUGGGCACUAGGUGUGGGGGACAUUCCACGUUUUCCGCGCCGUAGCUAACGCAUUAAGUGCCCCGCCUGGGGAGUACGGCCGCAAG
rnacentral:rRNA from 1 species